GGGAGGCAGCAGUGGGGAAUUUUGGACAAUGGGCGAAAGCCUGAUCCAGCCAUGCCGCGUGAGUGAAGAAGGCCUUUGGGUUGUAAAGCUCUUUUGUCCGGGAGGAAAUCCUGGCCUCUAAUACAGGUCGGGGAUGACAGUACUGGAAGAAUAAGCACCGGCUAACUACGUGCCAGCAGCCGCGGUAAUACGUAGGGUGCAAGCGUUAAUCGGAAUUACUGGGCGUAAAGCGUGCGCAGGCGGUUUUGUAAGCCAGAUGUGAAAUCCCCGAGCUUAACUUGGGAACUGCGUUUGGAACUACAAGACUAGAGUGUGUCAGAGGGGGGUAGAAUUCCACGUGUAGCAGUGAAAUGCGUAGAGAUGUGGAGGAAUACCGAUGGCGAAGGCAGCCCCCUGGGAUAACACUGACGCUCAUGCACGAAAGCGUGGGGAGCAAACAGGAUUAGAUACCCUGGUAGUCCACGCCCUAAACGAUGUCUACUAGUUGUCGGGAGAGGAAUCUCUUGGUAACGCAGCUAACGCGUGAAGUACG
rnacentral:rRNA from 1 species